rnacentral:rRNA from 1 species
UACGUAGGGUGCGAGCGUUAAUCGGAAUUACUGGGCGUAAAGCGUGCGCAGGCGGUGAGCUGUGUCCGAUGUGAAAGCCCCGGGCUUAACCUGGGAAUGGCAUUGGAAACUGGCUUGCUGGAGUGCGGCAGAGGGGGGUGGAAUUCCGCGUGUAGCAGUGAAAUGCGUAGAGAUGCGGAGGAACACCGAUGGCGAAGGCAGCCCGCUGGGACGGUACUGACGCUGAGGUGCGAAAGCGUGGGGAGCGAACAGG